rnacentral:rRNA from 1 species
AACGAACGCUGGCGGCAGGCUUAACACAUGCAAGUCGAACUGGUGCAGCAAUGCAUCAGUGGCAGACGGGUGAGUAACACGUGGGAACCUUCCUAGGGGUACGGAACAACUCAGGGAAACUUGAGCUAAUACCGUAUACGUCCGUGAGGAGAAAGAUUUAUCGCCCUUAGACGGGCCCGCGUCGGAUUAGCUAGUUGGUGGGGUAACGGCCUACCAAGGCGACGAUCCGUAGCUGAUCUUAAAGGAUGAUCAGCCACACUGGGACUGAGACACGGCCCAGACUCCUACGGGAGGCAGCAGUGGGGAAUCUUGGACAAUGGGCGCAAGCCUGAUCCAGCCAUGCCGCGUGAGUGAAGAAGGUCUUCGGAUUGUAAAGCUCUUUUGCCAGGGACGAUAAUGACGGUACCUGGAGAAUAAGCCCCGGCAAACUUCGUGCCAGCCUCCGCAGUAA